UCUCAGACUCAACUCUCUCUUGUCUCGCGAACGAGACGGUGGCGGUGGUUCUCUCCAAUCCCUCCUCCGCCGUAAAUAAACAAUCAACUCACCAUCUCCCUCUCAGAUCCUCCGUCUAUCGCCGUCCAUCAUCUCCCUAAGUCUAAAACUAAUAGAAACAAAACCCUAAGAUCCUCAUCGUACGAUUACAAGGUGAAGGUGGCGAAUCAGAGCUUGAUACCUUGGGGUUAUGAAUCGGAACGGCUCAUUUUGCAUCGCGACAUGAAGAAGAGUUGAAGCAAAUGGCAUAAAGAGGAAGUUCGAAGGGGUUACCUGGUAUGAAGAUCGAUAUCGGAAGAACAGAAGUCCAGAGGAGAAGUCCCGAUGCUCUUGAAUGCGAAAUAAACGCAAAGGAUGAAGCCACUCCUCAGGCACGAAUUCAGGUACUCUCGUUUUCACCAAUUCUUCUUCUUCUUCUUCUUUCAAAGCCUCUUUCUUUGAGAUGUUGUUUCUGUGUAUCGUGAGGACUGAGAGGUUGAGCACGAGCUUGUUGAGGCUCUAAUGUUGAGCUUCAACAGCUUUGUGGAUGUGCGCGUAGUAAGGGCGAGGGUGAUGAAUUUGCAGAAAGUGUGAGGUUGGUGAUGAAUUGCAGGUGGUGAAGAAGUGAAGUUGUGUGUGAAAUGAUGUCUAGGUUGAUGAGGUGAAGGAGAAUUGAAGAUUGUGAAUGAAGAUGGAUCAAGAGAAGUGAAGAAGGAAUCCAGGUUCUGAUUUAUAGGAAGUGGAGGUUAUUGAAUCAGGCUGCAGUAUGUUUCCCAAUGUGGCACACCGCAAGAGGUUGGAUGUGAUCGGUGGGAUAAAAUGAGCUAAAUGACGUAUUGCCGAUACAACAAGGGCAGCUUCUGUGGAACAUGGCUUGGAUAUUUGUGUGUGAAUCGGCAGCAAGGCUUUGUUAUCUGAGAUGUUUUGAUUGCUCAGGUGAUCAAAUCGACUAUGCGGCAUGGUUUGGAACCGAUUUAGGCAUUUGAAGAUGGAUGUCUGCUUGAAUUUCUGUUGACAGUUAGAGUCAAAAGCUGUUAGUCUUUUUUUUGGAUUAGUACUGGUGUAUAUGCAGGUUUGAAUUAAAUGGCUGGACAGUGUUUAGGCAGCUUGAAAUGGGUGCAGGGCUGUUAUGGUUUUUCUUGUUUGAACUGUGGUUCUGAGAUGAUGAUGAUGUUUUGAGAAAUAUAGCAUGAAGAUUGGAGAAAGAACUUGUAAGCAUUAUGCAAGGCAAAACAAAUUUGAAGCAAGGUCUAUCAAAGUGAAAGCAAAUGAAGCAGCUUGGAAGAAAUGGAGAAAGAGAAGGAUAGGUUUUAGGAAGUGUUGUAUAUUUUUCGGUGUAAUUUUUCUUUGUACUUUUUGACGUGAAUGUCUGGGUGUAAUGACUCACAAUUGGUUUUUUUGUGUAAUGGAUGAACUUUGAAUGUUGAUAGCAUU